CUCAUAUUGAAUCAUAUUAUGUGAUUUUAAGGGUCAAUUCAAAAUACAUCCCAUUUGUGUGCAGAUACACACACACAUAUAUAUAUUUAUUAGAUACACAUAUAUCAUUGUUAUCAAUGUGUUUGAUUGAUAAGCGCGUUUAUAUUACAAAUGGUCAUAUUGAAAAUACUAUAGAUAUUUGGUGGCCUAUUCACUAAACAGGGAAUUAAAGUGACUUGGGAAUCCCCGUCCAGAGCAAACGUAUCUUCACUUCACAAACUAGAGAAAAACUAUUUGAAUAAAACUGAGUUACAGAUUUCACACAUUUUAAUGUAGAAUUUGCAAAUCAGCAAAU